rnacentral:rRNA from 1 species
CCUACGGGGGGCUGCAGUGGGGAAUAUUGGACAAUGGGGGGAACCCUGAUCCAGCGACGCCGCGUGAGUGAAGAAGUAUUUCGGUAUGUAAAGCUCUAUCAGCAGGGAAGAAAAUGACGGUACCUGACUAAGACGCCCCGGCUAACUACGUGCCAGCGGCCGCGGUAAUACGUAGGGGGCAAGCGUGAUCCGGAUUUACUGGGUGUAAAGGGAGCGUAGACGGUGCAGCAAGUCUGCUGUGAAAGGUCGGGGCCCAACCCCGGGACUGCAUUGGAAACGGUUGAACUGGAGUGCAGGAGAGGUAAGCGGAAUUCGUGGUGGAGCGGUGAAAUGCGUAGAUAUUAGGAGGAACACCAGUGGCGAAGGCGGCUUACUGGACUGUAACUGAGGUGGAGGCUCGAAAGCGUGGGGAGCAAACAGGAUUAGAUACCCCUGUAGUG